rnacentral:rRNA from 1 species
GUGGGGAAUAUUGCGCAAUGGGGGAAACCCUGACGCAGCAACGCCGCGUGAAGGAUGAAGGCCUUCGGGUUGUAAACUUCUUUUGGAGGGGACGAAUAAAUUGACGGUACCCUCAGAAAAAGCCACGGCUAACUACGUGCCAGCAGCCGCGGUAAUACGGAGGAUGCGAGCGUUAUCCGGAUUUAUUGGGUUUAAAGGGUGCGUAGGCGGAAUGAUAAGUCAGUGGUGAAAACCUGCAGCUUAACUGUAGACUUGCCGUUGAUACUGUCAGUCUUGAGUGUGGUCAAGGUAGGCGGAAUGUGUAAUGUAGCGGUGAAAUGCUUAGAUAUUACACAGAACACCGAUUGCGAAGGCAGCUUACUGGGCCAUUACUGACGCUGAUGCACGAAAGCGUGGGGAUCGAACAGGAUUAGAUACCCCAGUAGUCC